UAAUACGGAGGGUCCAAGCGUUGUCCGGAAUUAUUGGGUUUAAAGGGUGCGUAGGCGGUUUUUUAAGUCAGAGGUGAAAUCCUACAGCUCAACUGUAGAACGGCCUUUGAUACUGGAAGACUUGAGUACACUAGAGGCAGGCGGAAUUUAUGAUGUAGCGGUGAAAUGCAUAGAUAUCAUAAAGAACACCGAUAGCGAAGGCAGCUUGCUGGAGUGUAACUGACGCUGAGGCACGAAAGCGUGGGUAGCGAACAGGAUUAGAUACCCUGGUAGUCCACGCCGUAAACGAUGCUCACUCGUUGUUAGCGAUAUACUGUUAGCGACCAAGCGAAAGCGAUAAGUGAGCCACCUGGGGAGUACGAUCGCAAGAUUG
rnacentral:rRNA from 1 species